GGCGGCACCAAGCCCAGGGAAUGUUCCAUUGGAAAGCAGCGGAACGUCACCUUUGGCAGCUGUUCAUGAAGAACCGAUGGCGACAUGUCCCUGUGACGUUCCAUUGGAGGGAAGCAGAACGUCGCAUCCCACAGCAGCUUCUGAAAAGCCGAUGGCGGAACCAAGCCCCAGGGAUGUUCGAUUGGAGGGCAGCGGAACGUCACCGUCGG